GCGCGAACGUUUUAACCGCCUUCUCUCGUUAUAUUUCAUAUACGCCGUUGAUUAAUUUACACGUCAAUACUUCUCGACCGUAAGAUCUUUCUAAUAGCCCCGAAACUUUUUAACCGACUCGGAUUCUGGGGCUCUAUAUAAGAAGUCGUCAACUUCUUAUGCCUUUGAUCUUUUCUAUCCAAAUCUCCCGCUAAUUGGUCGAUGGUUCUCAUUGUUAGGGUUUGGGCUCGAUCCCGGUGACGCUGAUCCUGAGCCGCUAUUACGUUCAUCGAGGAUUUAAUAUGAGCGGACAGGGGUUAACGAGAUGUGAUCAAUUAUGCUUGAUCGACAAGCAACCAUGAGCCCGCGUGUAAGAGGAACGAUCUUGGUCCCGAGAAUCACUGAGCAUCGCUUGUGCUCUUUAAUAUGCUUCUUGCAUGUGCUGACAAUCGCAAGGGAACAACAAACCUGACAUUGAGCCUUUGAUGACUUAAACAAAGGACGAUGGAAUCAGAAUCUAUAAAAGCUGAACAGUUGCAAGGAGGUUGGGCUCUGUAUCUUGUGGAUUUUUGGUAACACUAUUUAUCCAACGGUGACCAUCUAAAAUGAGCAAGCCUUCGUCUGAAUAUAUAUAUUUAUUUGGAUACAAACGAGAGAGUAAGAAGUGGACCUGUCGGCUCAGAUGGGAAAGUACAACCUGCAAGAAAGUUCGGCUGUAACCUAUUGGGUUCCUUUUUUUCUUUUUUUAUUCUCUUAAUUAACAAAGAGAUAAGAAAAGCUUAUAGGUUUUGAUGGUAUAGAUAAUAAGGAUUCGUUUGCUGUUUUGUGUAGUAGUACUCGAAUGAAACUUGUGGGUGGAGGAUAGUCAUGGCAUUUUUUGUGUACAUCUGAGGAUGCCUCCUCAAAUGUUUAAAGGCAACACUAAAAAAUUAUGGGGUUUGAAAAAUAAACGACUCUUACGAGGAGAGUAGAAAUUCUUUUAUUAUUCUUGCUUCAAACAAUGACACAUCUAUUAUAAUU